UACCAAUUGUCAAACGACUAUCAACUAAUGGUUUUAAGGUAAAUCUUUCCCUCCACAUUUCCUACCAAUUGUCAAACGACUAUCAACUAAUGGUUUUAAGAUUUAUGCCACGGAGAAAACAGCUGAUUAUUUAAAUAUUCAUUAUAUACCAACACAAGCUGUCAGCUGGGAUAUAGAAAAUGCUAACCCUAAUUUAAUGUCGGCUACCAGGUUA